rnacentral:rRNA from 1 species
GAUGAACGCUGGCGGCGUGCCUAAUACAUGCAAGUCGAGCGAACAGACGAGGAGCUUGCUCCUCUGACGUUAGCGGCGGACGGGUGAGUAACACGUGGAUAACCUACCUAUAAGACUGGGAUAACUUCGGGACACCGGAGCUAAUACCGGAUAAUAUAUUGAACCGCAUGGUUCAAUAGUGAAAUACGGUUUUGCUGUCACUUAUAGAUGGAUCCGCGCCGCAUUAGCUAGUUGGUAAGGUAACGGCUUACCAAGGCAACGAUGCGUAGCCGACCUGAGAGGGUGAUAGGCCACACUGGAGCUGAGACACGGUCCAGGCUCCUACGGGAGGCAGCAGUAGGGAAUCUUCCGCAAUGGGCGAAAGCCUGACGGAGCAACGCCGCGUGAGUGAUGAAGGUCUUCGGAUCGUAAAACUCUGUUAUUAGGGAAGAACAAAUGUGUAAGUAACUAUGCACGUCUUGACGGUACCUAAUCAGAAAGCCACGGCUAACUACGUG